rnacentral:rRNA from 1 species
ACAGAGACUGCAAGCGUUAUUCGGAUUCACUGGGCGUAAAGGGUGCGCAGGCGGCGAUGUGUGUGAGGCGUGAAAGCCCGAGGCUUAACCUCGGAAUUGCACCUCAAACUACAUCGCUAGAGCAUUGGAGAGGGUAGCAGAAUUCACGGUGUAGCAGUGAAAUGCGUAGAUAUCGUGAGGAAUACCAGAGGCGAAGGCGGCUACCUGGACAAUUGCUGACGCUCAGGCACGAAAGCGUGGGGAGCAAAAGGGAUUAGAUACCCCUGUAGUCCACGCCCUAAACGGUGCACACUAGGUCUUGGCGGAUUCGACCCCACCAGGGCCCAAGCUAACGCGUUAAGUGUGCCGCCUGAGGACUACGGCCGCAAGGCUA